GUGUGGGGGGGAAUUGAAACUCAAACUUUUGAGCAUCUCAAGAUUUUUGGUGUUUUUUUGUGUGUUACCAGUCUCUAAUGAAAUAUCCUACCUGUAAGGAGUCCUGGUGAAAGAUACAGAGAAGAUAUAAAGAUCACAAUAUGGUUAUGGUGACAGAACCAUCAAGCAUAGAGUACAGUCUACCAGUGUGGAUCAAUUUUAUACCCUUCACAAGCACUGACGAUGUUUAUAAUGUGAUUAAUAGACCAGCAAUCUUAUGAGUUAUAGGAUGCUAUCUGUUAUGGCAAGGAAGGAGAGAAGACCGGUCAGAUCCUCAGCUGGCAUAAGUUUGCUUCACUUAAUUGAUUCCAACUGAGCUGUGCUGACUUGCACACACUGAAAUCUAGCCUGGUUCAUUUGAGUUGAUACAGCUGAAGAGGACAGAUGGAGGAGAAAUGUGUGGCACCAUGAGAUUGGAGUCUGUUGUUCAGCCAUAGAACAGCAUUGGGCCAGGCUGAACUCCAGCUUGCCUCAUGAACAUGCCUGACCACUGCUUGCAGGGAAAGGAAAAUGUAGUCUCCUUAACCUUUCAUCUGAGACUGUCCAUAUGGUCCGUGCUAAUUAUGUUGGUGGUGGGUUUUGUGAUGUGGACUCUCACUCACUAGAAACUGGACUGAGACCUUCCAGAUUAAUUUCAUAAAGCUGCCAAAUAGCCAUGACAACUUAUAAGUUGAUGCUCAAAUGAUAAAUUGUGUGCUAACAGUAAUUUGGGAGACACUAUAUGCUUAAUAAUGCGGUGUCUGAUUCACUAAUGUAUUAUCCCAAUUUUACACUGGAGUAUCUUCAACUACCUUACACUGCCAUUCAACUUGGGUAACUCUGGUGAAUCAGGUCCUAGAUUCCUGUAUACAAGUUUUAUGUUGUUCUUCUGUUAAAACUACCUGCCUAUUUAUAAUCUCUUUUAAGACCAUUAGAUUUUGUAUGAACUCUUCAUGGUUAUUACUGAUAUUGUCUUCUUCCUAAAAUUAACACUCUACAAGAUAAAAUACUGGACUGCAAGUGAUUCUCAGAGGAUUCUCAACAGAUGAAGAAUAUGGAAUUGUUUUUAAGGCUCUCAUCCCAUAUGGGUUUAAUAUACCAGACUAAGUAGUGCUUUGGAGGUUCUUGAGCUUUUUGGGGUAUCAUUUUCAGCAAACCAAUACAGUGCUCUACUGAAUGAAGAUGUUCAUAAGCUUUCAACUCUCAUACCUUGAAAUCAGCUAAUUUUUCUCUGUGGCUGUAACAGACUUAUGUUUGAGGGACAUUUUUGUCCUAUGUCCAUAAAUAUGCAGAACUUAUAGUCUGUGCAGAGCUGUAACAUUUUUCUUUCUUUGGUUUUAAGUCAGCAUCAUGGCAAAUGUUGAAGUCAUUCUAUGAUUCUCAUUUGUU